GGAACAUGGAACCAAAAUUCGAACAGGACAAAAGCAGGGAAACGAAGUACGAAACACUGGGGAAACACAAACAAUAAAUACAAGUAGACAGAGACCCAACUUGGCACUUCGCAGAGCAGUAUAGUGCCCCCCCCCUUGGUGCGCCUGUGGACGCAUCAUCAAAGGCCCUUUAAUGAAACCGCAAAGGAAGAAGUCCAGCCAGCAUCACCACCAGUAACCAUAACAGUACCAGUAUGAAAGGCAUGACAUUGGUUAAGGGAUUGUUGCCGCUGACUGGAGUAGCCGUUAACAAGGACCACCUUUUUAACACCAACCCAUGAAGGAACUUGCAUGUUGAUUUACGAGUCACACUUUUA